GCCUCAGUAGCUCGGUGGUUAGCGCGUUGGGCUAGCAACCCGAGGGUCGCUGUUUCGAAUCUCCGCCUCGGAAA